CUGUAAUUUAGGGCAUAGCUGCCAACAGCAAGAUUUUUUGAAAUUUCUAUGAUAAAAAAUAGAGCAAGUAAAUUAUAUAGCCCAUAAACUGGUGACAUUUUCUAUUCAGAUAGUGCACUAUUCUUGGGUUUCUUUGCAUGCAAUAUAAGCAUCUUAUGGUGGUAACCUUUGUACUUGUUUUGUUAUUUUCCUAAUGUUCAAAUGUUUCACAAUCUUUCACAUCCCAGAUAUUAAAUUGAAUGUAGAUAACAUAAUUUUGAGUAGAUUUUCUCAUGAAGUAUUAGCAGUCACCCGUAGCAGCAGAUGCAGAAAACGCUCAGACCAUCUCCUCCGCAUCUGCUGCUUGCUUGUCACUUUGACCUGUGAUGUUCUUGCAGGGCAGUUUGGCUCUGCAAAGGGGUUUAGUUUCCUAGAAUGGCCAGCCAGCCCUGACUUGGCAGUUCCUAAUAGCAGGCACCUUUAUCUGCCUUAAUCAUCAGCUCCACAGGGAUUCUGUAGGGUCGUCCUCAAACUAAUUACCUGGUUGGUUUGACUUGUUGAUUGGGUUGAUUCCUGGGUGAAAGGCCUAACCCAGUAUUUUGAUUGAGAGGCAGAGUGCUGGGAAAUGGUGACCUGAUAAGAGCAUGGCAACCAUUCAUGGACACAUCCACAAGAUAUAUGGUCAGUGGCAAUGUGAUCUGUUGGGCAAUUGUGUUGGGAGCUUCUUAUUCAGGGGCCUGAGAUUUGGAAGCGAAUGUGUAUGAGUCGAGAUGUGAGACACAGUAGAGGAGAAGAGACUGAUGGUGACCCUAUACAAGUGACCACAGGUAGGGGGGCCACUGGGUGUAUGGGCACCUGGUGCCAACUGAGUUGGUGCUACUGUUUAGUUUGAUUACGAAUGAAGGAACCUGUCUAGCCUGUAUUACUGAGACCUGGGUGAGUUGGGCAGAGUGGAUUUGAUUCAAGGUUUAACAGAUAUCUGGUGCAGCAUCCACCUUGUUUGGAGGUCCAGAGAAGGGGAGUCUCUGUGGCCCAUAGAGUUGUUGUCUUGUUCACCAGGAAGCCUUUCCAUCCUGGGGUGGGCUAUGAAGGCCUGUACCUUGGUAGCCUCAAGGUGUGGUGUUGGGAGAAUUCCAUGGCACUGGUUCUGGUAGCUCAAUAGCUCUAACAAGUGUAGGGUAAGAUCAAAACUUCAUGUUCUCCAUGAAAUCCAUGGGGCCGUUCAAAGUUGUCAGCAGCCCAAUGCAUAGGAUGUCGCAUAUAUACCCUGAUUUGGUCUUUACCUCAGGGUUGGUGUGGGGUCCUUCAUAGUGUCCACUGCCAAAGACUUGUGGAAUUAGAGUAAUUUAUUAAUGCUUUGGGGGAUUUUCCAGAAGUCAGAGCCCGCAAUCCUGCUAAGACCUUCAUUUUACUAUGGAAUAGCAGCAAUCCAGCUGCAAACACUCUUGAAGGAAGCUGAUUAUCUUGACCCAUUUCAGUCUGGGUUCAAGCCCAGCUUUGAGACAAAAUAGGCCUUGGAUGGAUGACCCUGUUUGUU